AAAGGGUAAGAGGGCAGGGAGGAGUCUACCCGGCUGGGACUUGGUAGUUUUGCAUAGAAUUGAGAACUGUAAGACUUGAAAAAAUCAGCUGAGGCCAAUGAUGCCUUCAUGUUUAAUUUAAGCAAAUGUGAAACUCAGUUUGCAUGCCCUGGGUAUACUCCAUGUUUAAUUUGCAUCGAGGCCAAGCAGUGCUUCCAGGUCAAGAGAUCUUGUAGGCAGAGUGUCUCACAGGGCUGGACGGAGAGGAAGCAGCUAAAGGAAGACGAGCAGACAUGUGUAUCGUCCAAAGGCAGAAAGAAUGCUAACUGGGGAACUGGCCAUGGCCCUGGGAAAUCCCUGUCAGUUAAAAUAACAUAAAUCACAUCUGAUUUUUUUUCCAUACAAACAAUGUUAUAAUGAGGGUGACAUUUCACAUCAAUGUUCUAAUGAAAGCACCCCAAAUAUUGUAACUAAUGGUCCCACAACUGAUAUUUGCUAAAGAAUAAGGCCUUCAGUGUGUACAUAUAAAUUAAACAGAGUGCUGACACAGGCAUAAUAUUAAUGAGUUGAAACCAUCCCUAGAGGCAAAGCCAUUGCAGGACUGGGAGGGACUCCAUGUGGGACAAGAGCCCAAAAUGACUCCCAGGAGAGAGGCUAUGCACAAGACCUCAAAGCCUAUCAGCGGGAGGAAAACUGCCACGCACAACAGGGGGAGUGGCCAGUAGCUCAAAACCUGUGGAGUCCAGUCUUGGGCAAACAGACUGGGUUCAUCAAGCCCAGCUACAGGGGGUCUCCCCGUGUCCCGGUGCUAACCCACAUGCCAUGGGUGCCACACGAAGCUUCCUAGAGCAAUCUCUCUACUCCUAAUCUUCUGCUCAGAAACUAUCAGUGAUCCCUCCUGUCCCACCAAUCCCCUGGAUUGCCAUUUGUGACCCUCCAGAAUCUGGUUCUUCUCUGUCUGUCCAACUUAAUCUUCUAAUACAUCUAUUCCAAUAACCUCAGUUGUAGAAAAGAUGGCUUAGUCAUUAUCUUCAAGAAGGACCAACAUUUUCUAUCGUUUUGUCUUUGCACGGGCCACAAGCACUCCUUGACAGACUUCCCUUACCACCUCCACUAUGAUCUAUUAAAAGUGCCGGAAACACAAAAUCCAGCUCAUGUGUCAGCUGUUCCACAAAGCCCGGUAUGUAGCAAAUGCUCUGUAUAUGUCUGUUGGAUGGGUGAAUGGACGGAUGGAUCUCAUCCUGAAUCCAUUACCCGGUAGAGACCAUUCCCUUGUCAGUGCACCACGGCACACUUCUGUUCCUUUUGUAAAGCUCUCCGCAUGCUCUCUUCUUUCACUCACAUCUGAAUACAGUUCUUAUCCACAUCAUUAAAUGGAAGGACUUGAAGUGUGAACUACAUUCAUCUUUGUCCCCCACACAACUUCCAGUACCAGGUCUUUCAUAGAAUGCAUGCUCAAGAUAUCAGAAAGCAACAUGGUAUACUUGGCAGCAGGUGGCAAAUGUGCAUAGUGGUUAAGUUUAAUACAAGUGAGGGAUAAAACCUACAUAAAAAUGAGUACCUCGCUCAGUAAAUGGGCACACAUAGCCUUAACCACAACAGACCACGGUGAGAUCCCUAGUCUCAGGUAAAUUUUUCCCAGACACAGUCAAGGUCACCGCUGCCUACUCCUCCUUCAGGACUUUCCCACUGCACACCCCCGAAGAUUCUAGGUCCUUCCACUGUGCGCACCCUAGGUAUCAUGUGCGUGCACCCAUUGGAAACAAGGCUGGCGCUCUGCUGUGUAACUGCCCUGCCCUCCUCAGGACAGAAGAGUCACUUUUGCUUAUCAUUAUAAUCCAUCACCCCCAGAGCAGGUUCUGGCACACACUUGGCUUUCAAUAAAGUUUUCUUAGUGUUUGAUUUUAGAUGCAUCAGGUUAACAUUCUGAUUUUUUUAUCUACUAAGUACACUCCCACUGUUAACAAACACGGGAUAUGUUACUAAAGCUCUUAGGUAGUGGAACAUAGCCUGAUGUAGGCUCUGCUCCUUUCUAGCGAUGCGAUCGGAGACAAAUCACAGACAUCUCUGAGCCGAUUUCCUCAUGGCUCCCUGGAGGGCAACAGCACCUUCCCCGCAGCUACCGCCGGGACCAGAGGGUAUGGAAAUAAGGUGCCCAGUGGUGUCCCUGGCAUUUGGUCAGUGCUCAGUAAUGGCAGCAAUUGUAAGAACUACACUAAGAGGACAGGCAAAAGUAAAUGUUGAUACAAAGAAUUUUUCAAUGAAUAUGUGUAACUUCUUUUUUUCUAAUUUUG